rnacentral:rRNA from 1 species
AACGAACGCUGGCGGCAUGCCUAACACAUGCAAGUCGAACGAGACCUUCGGGUCUAGUGGCGCACGGGUGCGUAACGCGUGGGAACCUGCCCUUAGGUUCGGAAUAACUCACCGAAAGGGGUCCUAAUACCGGAUAAUGUCUUCCGACCAAAGAUUUAUCGCCUUUGGCUGGGCCCGCGUUGGAUUCGCUAGUUGGUAGGGUAAAAGCCUACCAAGGCGACGAUCCAUAGCUGGUCUGUGAGGAUGAUCAGCCACACUGGGACUGAGACACGGCCCAGACUCCUACGGGAGGGAGGAGUGGGGAAUAUUGGACGAUGGGCGAAAGUCUGAUCCAGCAAUGCCGCGGGAGUGAUGAAGGGCUUAGGGUUGUAAAGCUCUUUUACCCGGGAUGAUAAUGACGGUACCGGGAGAAUAAGCUCCGGCUAACUACGUG